rnacentral:ncRNA from 1 species
AGAGGUAGAGGUUGCGUGAUUCAUGAGUAGACUGACAGAUGCGUGAGGCGCAGAAGAAGCAGCUUGAAAGGGGAUCAUGCCGAAAGGUUCGUCACCUCGGGACGGAUACUUGGGCGUACAGAUAAGAUCUGUGCGACUGUCAUCAGUUUGAUGGGGCGCUAUCCG